UACGAAGGGUGCAAACGUUGCUCGGAAUUAUUGGGCGUAAAGCGCACGUAGGCGGCUUGGCAAGUCGGAUGUGAAAUCCCUCGGCUCAACUGAGGAACUGCCUUUGAAACUGUGAGGCUUGAGGCCGGGAGGGGGUAGCGGAAUUCCCAGUGUAGCGGUGAAAUGCGUAGAUACUGGGAGGAACACCAGUGGCGAAGGCGGCUACCUGGACCGGUACUGACGCUGAGGCGCGAAAGCGUGGGUAGCAAACAGG
rnacentral:rRNA from 1 species